rnacentral:tRNA from 1 species
GGGCCUAUAGCUCAACUGGGAGAGCGCCAGAUUUGCAUUCUGGAGGCUAGCGGUUCGAGCCCGCUUAGGUCCA